UCAAACUUGGUCAUUUAGAGGAAGUAAAAGUCGUAACAAGGUUUCCGUAGGUGAACCUGCGGAAGGAUCAUUAACGCAUCUCUGACGGCAGAGGACUGCCCUGCUCCGGACCGAAAGGCCGUGCAGCGGGUGCUCCCGAGCCGCUCAACCCUUUGCAAACCCCACUUGUGCACUUUUGUCGGCAGAGGGCCCCAGUGGCCCCGAGCCGGAUCGCAAACUCUGUGAACAGAACGUUGAAGCGGACAAAGUUCCGCCCAAACUUUAACAACUUUCAACAACGGAUCUCUUGGCUCUCGCAUCGAUGAAGAACGCAGC
rnacentral:misc_RNA from 1 species